ensembl:rRNA predicted gene, 23799
UACAGCCAUAGCAGCCAUAGCAGCCUGAACAUGCUGAUCUCCUCUGAAUUCGGAAGCUAAGCAGGGUCGGGCCCGGUUAGCAUUUGGAUGGGAAAAUGACUACUGGUAAGGAACAGUUAAAAGGUGCAU